rnacentral:rRNA from 1 species
CCUACGGGUGGCAGCAGUCGAGAAUCAUUCACAAUGGGGGAAACCCUGAUGGUGCGACGCCGCGUGGGGGAAUGAAGGUCUUCGGAUUGUAAACCCCUGUCAUGUGGGAGCAAAUUAAAAAGAUAGUACCACAAGAGGAAGCGACGGCUAACUCUGUCCCAGCAGCCGCGUUACUACAGAGGUCUCAAGCGUUGUUCGGAAUCACUGGGCGUAACGCGUGCGUAGGCUGUUUCGUAAGUCGUGUGUGAAAGGCGCGGGCUCAACCCGCGGACGGCGCAUGAUACUGCGAGACUAGAGUAAUGGAGGGGGAACGGGAAUUCUCGGGGUAGAAGUGAGAUGCGUAGAGAUAGAGAGGAACACUCGUGGCGAAGGCGGGUUCCUGGACAUUAACAGACGCUGAGGCACGAAGGCCAGGGGAGCGAAAGGGAUUAGAUACCCUUGUAGUC